UACGUAGGGGGCUAGCGUUGUCCGGAAUCACUGGGCGUAAAGCGCACGUAGGCGGAUUGCUAAGUCAGGGGUGAAAUCCUGGAGCUCAACUCCAGAACUGCCUUUGAUACUGGCGACCUUGAGUCCGGGAGAGGUGAGUGGAACUGCGAGUGUAGAGGUGAAAUUCGUAGAUAUUCGCAAGAACACCAGUGGCGAAGGCGGCUCACUGGCCCGGUACUGACGCUGAGGUGCGAAAGCGUGGGGAGCAAACAGG
rnacentral:rRNA from 1 species